rnacentral:sRNA from 1 species
UAGAUAGGAGGAUAUCGUGAUUGACGGC